AGCAGCCGCGGUAAUUCCAGCUCCAAUAGCGUAUAUUAAAGUUGUUGCAGUUAAAAAGCUCGUAGUUGAAUUUCGGGAUUGGCGCAUCGGUCGUGCCUCACGAGGUAUGAACUGGUGCAGUCAAUUUCUCACCUUCUGGAGAACCGCGAUGUCCUUAAUUGGAUGCCGCGGGGAACCAGGACCUUUACUUUGAAAAAUUAGAGUGUUUAAAGCAGGCAUUUUUGCUUGAAUACAUUAGCAUGGAAUAAUAAAAUAGGACGGCAUGGUUCUAUUUUGUUGGUUUCUAGGACCACCGUAAUGAUUAAUAGGGAUAGUUGGGGGCAUUAGUAUUCAAUUGUCAGAGGUGAAAUUCUUGGAUUUAUUGAAGACUAACUACUGCGAAAGCAUUUGCCAAGGAUGUUUUCAUUAAUCAAGAACGAAAGUUAGGGGAUCGAAGACGAUCAGAUACCGUCGUAGUCUUAACCA
rnacentral:rRNA from 1 species